AAUUAUACCGUGAAACUGCGAAUGGCUCAUUAAAUCAGUUAUCGUUUAUUUGAUAGUACCUUACUACUUGGAUAACCGUGGUAAUUCUAGAGCUAAUACAUGCUAAAAACCCCAACUUCGGGAGGGGUGUAUUUAUUAGAUAAAAAACCAACGCCCUUCGGGGCUUCUUGGUGAUUCAUGAUAACUUUACGGAUCGCAUGGCCUUGCGCCGGCGACGGUUCAUUCAAAUUUCUGCCCUAUCAACUUUCGAUGGUAAGGUAUUGGCUUACCAUGGUUUCAACGGGUAACGGGGAAUUAGGGUUCGAUUCCGGAGAGGGAGCCUGAGAAACGGCUACCACAUCCAAGGAAGGCAGCAGGCGCGCAAAUUACCCAAUCCCGACACGGGGAGGUAGUGACAAUAAAUACUGAUACAGGGCUCUUUUGGGUCUUGUAAUUGGAAUGAGUACAAUUUAAACCUCUUAACGAGGAACAAUUGGAGGGCAAGUCUGGUGCCAGCAGCCGCGGUAAUUCCAGCUCCAAUAGCGUAUAUUAAAGUUGUUGCAGUUAAAAAGCUCGUAGUUGAAACUUGGGUCUGGCUGGCAGGUCCGCCUCACCGCGUGUACUUGUCCGGCCGGGCCUUCCUUCUGGAGAACCUCAUGCCCUUCACUGGGCGUGUUGGGGACCAGGACUUUUACUUUGAAAAAAUUAGAGUGUUCAAAGCAGGCCUUUGCUCGAAUACGUUAGCAUGGAAUAAUAGAAUAGGACGUGCGGUCCUAUUUUGUUGGUUUCUAGGACCGCCGUAAUGAUUAAUAGGGACAGUCGGGGGCAUCAGUAUUCAAUUGUCAGAGGUGAAAUUCUUGGAUUUAUUGAAGACUAACUACUGCGAAAGCAUUUGCCAAGGAUGUUUUCAUUAAUCAGUGAACGAAAGUUAGGGGAUCGAAGACGAUCAGAUACCGUCGUAGUCUUAACCGUAAACUAUGCCGACUAGGGAUCGGGCGAUGUUCUUUUUCUGACUCGCUCGGCACCUUACGAGAAAUCAAAGUUUUU
rnacentral:rRNA from 1 species